rnacentral:rRNA from 1 species
GAUGAACGCUGGCGGCGUGCCUAAUACAUGCAAGUCGAGCGAACAGACGAGGAGCUUGCUCCCCUGAUGUUAGCGGCGGACGGGUGAGUAACAUGUGGUUAACCUACCUAUAAGACUGGGAUAAUUAUGGGAGACCAGAGCUAAUACCGGAUGACAUGUCGAACCGCAUGGUUCAACAGUGAAAGACGCUCUUGCUGUCAGUAAUAGACGGAUCCGCGCCGCAUUAGCUAGUGGGUGAGGUAGCGGCUUAACAAGGCAACGAUGCGUAGCCGACCCGAGAGCGUGAUCGGCUACACGGGAACUGAGAAACAGUACAGACACCUACGCUAGGCCGCAGUAGGGAAUCUUACGCGAUGGGCGAGAGCGGGACGGAGCAACGCCGGGGGAAUGAAGAAGGACCUAGGAUGGUAAAACUCUGUUGUUAGGAAAGAACAAAAGUGUAAGUAACUGUGCACAUCAUGACGGUACCUGAUGAAAAAGCCCCGGCUAACUACGUG